rnacentral:rRNA from 1 species
UACGUAGGGGGCGAGCGUUGUCCGGAGUUACUGGGCGUAAAGGGCAUGCAGGCGGUCGGACGCGUUUUGUGUGACAGCGGGUGGCUUAACUACCCGAGCAUGCGAAAGACGGUUGGACUUGAGGGCUCGAGAGGGACACGGAAUUCCGGGUGGAGUGGUGAAAUGCGUAGAGAUCCGGGGGAACACCGAAGGCGAAGGCAGUGUCCUGGCGAGUGACUGACGCUGAGGUGCGAAAGCCAGGGGAGCGAACGGG